rnacentral:rRNA from 1 species
CCUACGGGAGACAGCAGUGGGGAAUAUUGCGCAAUGGGCGAAAGCCUGACGCAGCGACGCCGUGUGAGGGAUGAAGGUCUUCGGAUCGUAAACCUCUGUCAGCAGGGAAGAACGGUCACUGUGCUAAUCAGCAGUGAAUUGACGGUACCUGCAAAGGAAGCACCGGCUAACUCCGUGCCAGCAGCCGCGGUAAUACGGAGGGUGCGAGCGUUAAUCGGAAUUACUGGGCGUAAAGCGCUCGUAGGCGGUAUGUCAAGUCAAGGGUGAAAUCCCCGCGCUCAACGUGGGAACUGCCUUUAAAACUGGCAAACUGGAGAGUGUGAGAGGAUAGUGGAAUGCCAGGUGUAGGAGUGAAAGCCGUAGAGAUCUGGAGGAACAUCAGUGGCGAAGGCGACUAUCUGGCACAUAACUGACGCUGAGGAGCGAAAGCGUGGGUAGCAAACAGGAUUAGAUACCCGAGUAGUC